UUUUCCGUUUAGUUGCAGAGUGCAAUGAGAAAAACUGCGUCGAUAAAACGUCGUCGACAACUUUAGCUAAUGAAUUUGUAGCCAAGUUAAUAUAGGUGAAAGGAAACACUUAGCAGCCGCAAUAAUCAGGCUACUACCUUCAUAAAGAUAUUCUAAGUCAGUGGAGGGUCUGGACAUUUUAUUUGAUGACGUCAACCCAUGUGGACUGAUCCAAAAUCGUUGAUUUAUCGGAAUUUGAAGGGGGAACAGAAGAAUAAAUAUGUAAAUAUGUAUGUAUGUAACUCAAUAGU